rnacentral:piRNA from 1 species
UAAGAGCCCUGUGGUUUUUCCUUCAGUCU